GGGUUGUGAGGUUAAGCGACUAAGCGUACACGGUGGAUGCCCUGGCAGUCAGAGGCGAUGAAGGACGUGCUAAUCUGCGAUAAGCGUCGGUAAGGUGAUAUGAACCGUUAUAACCGGCGAUUUCCGAAUGGGGAAACCCAGUGUGAUUCGUCACACUAUCAUUAACUGAAUCCAUAGGUUAAUGAGGCGAACCGGGGGAACUGAAACAUCUAAGUACCCCGAGGAAAAGAAAUCAACCGAGAUUCCCCCAGUAGCGGCGAGCGAACGGGGAGCAGCCCAGAGCCUGAAUCAGUGUGUGUGUUAGUGGAAGCGUCUGGAAAGGCGCGCGAUACAGGGUGACAGCCCCGUACACAAAAAUGCACAUACUGUGAGCUCGAUGAGUAGGGCGGGACACGUGGUAUCCUGUCUGAAUAUGGGGGGACCAUCCUCCAAGGCUAAAUACUCCUGACUGACCGAUAGUGAACCAGUACCGUGAGGGAAAGGCGAAAAGAACCCCGGCGAGGGGAGUGAAAAAGAACCUGAAACCGUGUACGUACAAGCAGUGGGAGCACGCUUAGGCGUGUGACUGCGUACCUUUUGUAUAAUGGGUCAGCGACUUAUAUUCUGUAGCAAGGUUAACCGAAUAGGGGAGCCGAAGGGAAACCGAGUCUUAACUGGGCGUUAAGUUGCAGGGUAUAGACCCGAAACCCGGUGAUCUAGCCAUGGGCAGGUUGAAGGUUGGGUAACACUAACUGGAGGACCGAACCGACUAAUGUUGAAAAAUUAGCGGAUGACUUGUGGCUGGGGGUGAAAGGCCAAUCAAACCGGGAGAUAGCUGGUUCUCCCCGAAAGCUAUUUAGGUAGCGCCUCGUGAAUUCAUCUCCGGGGGUAGAGCACUGUUUCGGCAAGGGGGUCAUCCCGACUUACCAACCCGAUGCAAACUGCGAAUACCGGAGAAUGUUAUCACGGGAGACACACGGCGGGUGCUAACGUCCGUCGUGAAGAGGGAAACAACCCAGACCGCCAGCUAAGGUCCCAAAGUCAUGGUUAAGUGGGAAACGAUGUGGGAAGGCCCAGACAGCCAGGAUGUUGGCUUAGAAGCAGCCAUCAUUUAAAGAAAGCGUAAUAGCUCACUGGUCGAGUCGGCCUGCGCGGAAGAUGUAACGGGGCUAAACCAUGCACCGAAGCUGCGGCAGCGACGCUUAUGCGUUGUUGGGUAGGGGAGCGUUCUGUAAGCCUGCGAAGGUGUGCUGUGAGGCAUGCUGGAGGUAUCAGAAGUGCGAAUGCUGACAUAAGUAACGAUAAAGCGGGUGAAAAGCCCGCUCGCCGGAAGACCAAGGGUUCCUGUCCAACGUUAAUCGGGGCAGGGUGAGUCGACCCCUAAGGCGAGGCCGAAAGGCGUAGUCGAUGGGAAACAGGUUAAUAUUCCUGUACUUGGUGUUACUGCGAAGGGGGGACGGAGAAGGCUAUGUUGGCCGGGCGACGGUUGUCCCGGUUUAAGCGUGUAGGCUGGUUUUCCAGGCAAAUCCGGAAAAUCAAGGCUGAGGCGUGAUGACGAGGCACUACGGUGCUGAAGCAACAAAUGCCCUGCUUCCAGGAAAAGCCUCUAAGCAUCAGGUAACAUCAAAUCGUACCCCAAACCGACACAGGUGGUCAGGUAGAGAAUACCAAGGCGCUUGAGAGAACUCGGGUGAAGGAACUAGGCAAAAUGGUGCCGUAACUUCGGGAGAAGGCACGCUGAUAUGUAGGUGAAGUCCCUUGCGGAUGGAGCUGAAAUCAGUCGAAGAUACCAGCUGGCUGCAACUGUUUAUUAAAAACACAGCACUGUGCAAACACGAAAGUGGACGUAUACGGUGUGACGCCUGCCCGGUGCCGGAAGGUUAAUUGAUGGGGUCAGCGCAAGCGAAGCUCUUGAUCGAAGCCCCGGUAAACGGCGGCCGUAACUAUAACGGUCCUAAGGUAGCGAAAUUCCUUGUCGGGUAAGUUCCGACCUGCACGAAUGGCGUAAUGAUGGCCAGGCUGUCUCCACCCGAGACUCAGUGAAAUUGAACUCGCUGUGAAGAUGCAGUGUACCCGCGGCAAGACGGAAAGACCCCGUGAACCUUUACUAUAGCUUGACACUGAACAUUGAGCCUUGAUGUGUAGGAUAGGUGGGAGGCUUUGAAGUGUGGACGCCAGUCUGCAUGGAGCCGACCUUGAAAUACCACCCUUUAAUGUUUGAUGUUCUAACGUUGACCCGUGAUCCGGGUUGCGGACAGUGUCUGGUGGGUAGUUUGACUGGGGCGGUCUCCUCCUAAAGAGUAACGGAGGAGCACGAAGGUUGGCUAAUCCUGGUCGGACAUCAGGAGGUUAGUGCAAUGGCAUAAGCCAGCUUGACUGCGAGCGUGACGGCGCGAGCAGGUGCGAAAGCAGGUCAUAGUGAUCCGGUGGUUCUGAAUGGAAGGGCCAUCGCUCAACGGAUAAAAGGUACUCCGGGGAUAACAGGCUGAUACCGCCCAAGAGUUCAUAUCGACGGCGGUGUUUGGCACCUCGAUGUCGGCUCAUCACAUCCUGGGGCUGAAGUAGGUCCCAAGGGUAUGGCUGUUCGCCAUUUAAAGUGGUACGCGAGCUGGGUUUAGAACGUCGUGAGACAGUUCGGUCCCUAUCUGCCGUGGGCGCUGGAGAACUGAGGGGGGCUGCUCCUAGUACGAGAGGACCGGAGUGGACGCAUCACUGGUGUUCGGGUUGUCAUGCCAAUGGCACUGCCCGGUAGCUAAAUGCGGAAGAGAUAAGUGCUGAAAGCAUCUAAGCACGAAACUUGCCCCGAGAUGAGUUCUCCCUGACUCCUUGAGAGUCCUGAAGGAACGUUGAAGACGACGACGUUGAUAGGCCGGGUGUGUAAGCGCAGCGAUGCGUUGAGCUAACCGGUACUAAUGAACCGUGAGGCUUAACCUUACAACGCCGAAGGUGUUU
rnacentral:rRNA from 1 species